rnacentral:rRNA from 1 species
UACGUAGGGCGCAAGCGUUAUCCGGAAUUAUUGGGCGUAAAGAGCUCGUAGGCGGUUUGUCGCGUCUGCCGUGAAAGUCCGGGGCUCAACUCCGGAUCUGCGGUGGGUACGGGCAGACUAGAGUGAUGUAGGGGAGACUGGAAUUCCUGGUGUAGCGGUGAAAUGCGCAGAUAUCAGGAGGAACACCGAUGGCGUAGGCAGGUCUCUGGGCAUUAACUGACGCUGAGGAGCGAAAGCAUGGGGAGCGAACAGG